GUUUUAAUAGUUUAAAAAAAACAAUGGUCUUGUAAAUCAUAAUUAAAGAAUAUUUCAUUUUAAAACU
rnacentral:tRNA from 1 species